rnacentral:lncRNA from 1 species
GGGCCGGCCACUUUAGGUGAGGAAAUGUGAGAUAUUUAGUCAAGUUGUUGACUAGGUUUCUUUUGUCUAUAUAAAGAACUUUAUAGAGAUAAAGUUCAUUAGGGUUUUUGUGAGUUUUGAACAACAAAAGAGGCAAAAGAAAAUAGCUCUCUUGAACCACAAAGGCCGGCCACCAUAAGGGGGUUUUUACUAACAUCUCUUACACCCUUUUGGUUAUUCCUUCAUCCUUCUCACUACACUAGUGGGUGAGGAUCUUUAGAGGUUUCCUACUUUGGGAACUUGAAGAGAACCUAGGAGCACUCAUUGUA